rnacentral:rRNA from 1 species
GAAGGUUUACGGAUCGUAAAACUCUGUUGUUAGAGAAGAACAAGGAUGAGAGUAACUGUUCAUCCCUUGACGGUAUCUAACCCAGAAAGCCACGGCUAACUACGUGCCAGCAGCCGCGGUAAUACGUAGGUGGCAAGCGUUGUCCGGAUUUAUUGGGCGUAAAGCGAGCSCAGGCGGUUUCUUAAGUCUGAUGUGAAAGGCCCCGGCUCAACCGGGGAGGGUCAUUGGAAACUGGGAGACUUGAGUGCAGAAGAGGAGAGUGGAAUUCCAUGUGUAGCGGUGAAAUGCGUAGAUAUAUGGAGGAACACCAGUGGCGAAGGCGGCUCUCUGGUCUGUAACUGACGCUGAGGCUCGAAAGCGUGGAGGGCAAACAGGAUUAGAUACCCUGGUAGUCCACGSCGUAAACGAUGUGUGCUAAGUGUUGGAGGGUUUCCGCCCUUCAGUGCUGCAGCUAACGCAUUAAGCACUCCGCCUGGGGAGUACGACCGCAAGGUUGAAACUCAAAGGAAUUGACGGGGGCCCGCACAAGCGUGGGAGCAUGUGGUUUAAUUCGAAGCAACGCGAAGAACCUUACCAGGUCUUGACAUCCUUUGACCACUCUAGAGAUAGAGUCUUCCCCUUCGGGGGCAAAGUGACAGGUGGUGCAUGGUUGUCGUCAGCUCGUGUCGUGAGAUGUUGGGUUAAGUCCCGCAACGAGCGCAACCCUUAUUGUUAGUUGCCAUCAUUCAGUUGGGCAUCUCACAARA